GCCGGAGUUACCGAGUGGUUAGGUGGCGGCCUGCAGAGCCGCUUACGGGGGUUCAAAUCCCCUCUCCGGCU
rnacentral:tRNA from 2 species